UUUUUUUUCCUUGUGAACGGAUGACUUUCAUCAUUUCCCACUAAACAACUACAAAAGAUUCAAACUCAAUUGAAAAUCAAAGUAAAUGUGCACAGCUGCAUGUCAUUGCAUACUUGGGAACUUAAUUCUGUAGCAUUACAAUGCAGAAAAAAACAAAAAAAGUCGUGCAUGCAGGGCACAGCUCUUACACAAUCAAGUAAAGAAUCCUUUGAUGUAUAGCUGCUGGAGUAAAUGUUACACAAACUAUGAAGUAAAGAUGAUGAAGUGUUGCAACUACCUCUAAUUAUUCCCUCAAAGGGUUAUUGUCAUAAGUGAUUAAAAAAAUCAUGAAUGCACUCUAUAAUACAAGGAAGCUACAGAAUCAUCUUCUCCUCUGCCACCAGUCUGGAACUUUCAAUCUCCUGCUUCUAUGUACAGAUAGUUGGACACUAGGAAGCUUAUGCUUUACCUGUCUCCAUAGCAUGUCAACCGCGUCUUCCUUCUUAGGCGGGUACUGGAAUUCAAAGUGAUGAGAGAUGUUCCUAAGCCGUCUCCACAUUUUAACCCAUCUCUCUUUCGGAAAUUGCCGCAGUUGAUUAAUCAUGUAACCAGGUUGAAUGGCCUCAUUUACAGAGAAGAAAAUUGAGAAUUGGCUAUAAUCAAUUUCAUCCUCAUAUGGGAGUUCAAUUUGAUCACUCACAAUGACAGGAACACAAUGGCUUACAAUAGCAUCAAAAAGCCGGCAAGAAGAUGGAGUGUCUCCUGCAGGAUGGAGACAGAACUUUGAUGAUCGCAUUCCUCUUGUUGACUGGUAUGUCGGAAGGAAAAAGAAAUGAGACAUCAAGGAAAAUAAUGACAUGAAAAUAUGGUAACAAAUAAUUUGAAAAAUACAGUAGCUAUUAGGGCACCCAUUUACUAUCCCUCUAAAAGGAAUUUCUUAAGUAUAGCAUUGCAUUUUCUAUGAUCCCUACUGAGGGAAUGUUCCCCAAUUUCCCUUCCUUGAAGGGAAAAGAACAUCUAAUUGACAACCAUAACAUGACACCAUAUUAUUGUAAAUCCAUCCAUAUAAAUAUAUAACUUUCAGAAAACUAAAGUAGCAGGCAUGGAGUGUUGACAAGCCGCAACAGGGAAUAAGAGUUUCUACUUUUUUCUGUCUCCUAAUGUAUAAAGGAAUAUAAAGUAAGAUAAACACUUGAAAUUAGGCUGGUAGGCUAACAGUUGGGUAGUCGAACAUAGUGCAGGCAAUUAGGGGCUCAACCCUCCACUUCCUGCCUGCCUUCCCUUGAAGCAUAACAGGAAAGUAUUAUGAAGACUAGGUAAGACCUAGAUGUGCAAUGACAUUAUCAAUUCCACUAUCUUCAUACCCCAGUACAUACCACUUUUAUUGUUAGUGUUGUUGGUGUGCUUCGCUCAAAAUGAACAUCAUCAUAACUAGCUAAUAUCUCUGCCAGUUUAGCACGAACUUGGCCUUUCUGCAAUAACAAGAAGAUUGUUAAUAACCACUUCGGCAUCAAAUUGGAGGUUUUAGAAUGAAUUAGAAGUAGCAUACAUCUUUCCUAACUGUAUUCCCACGGAAGAAAAGAAGAGUUGUGCGAGAUUCAAAUGGAUCUGAAAUUUCAUCGUCUGUAAAAGAAUCAACAACAUGUACAUAAGGGGCCACCACAUCUUUCCUCAAAGUUGACAUGGAUUUUGGGUAGCGGCCAAAAUCUGCAACCAUGAGAAUAGAUGCAUUCAACUGUUGUCGGAGAAACCUAAAAGCAUUCGGAUGUGUCAUGGGAAUCACAUGGUCUCUACCUCCAGACUUCUGCCAGUACUUAGAUUUAUACAACAUUUCUACCACAUCAACCUGCAAUUGGCGAUCUAUCUCAGUCUCCGGAUCCGUCAUGGUAUGCCCGUGUGUAUUGAAGCUCAACGAAGAGAAAAACGGCACGAAGAACGCAUCUGCCUUUUCCGGAUCUAAAACCCUGACCGCUUCUCUCUCCUCUCCACCGCCUUCAUACAAAAGCGAAGCCAUUAACCAAUACUCGACGCUGUGCUGCUUUCUCAACCCAGAAUUGUUGGGCCAUCGCGGCAAAUUCUCUGCCGUGACCGGCGUAUUGUCAUCAUCAUUCCGGUGAUCCAUCAUCCCGACGUGGAAUCUCGGCGGAAGAUCGUACAUGUAGACCUUAAGAGGCGGCCCGGUUGCACACGCUGAGCGUGGACCGGCCGGUGACAGUGGGAGUCGAGGAAAGAAGUAUGAUCUGAAAUCAACGGUCCCAAUGAAGAUGGAGUAGGAGAAGACCAGGAGGAGGAGGAAUCCUAUAGAGAAAAUCACUUUUCCAUACAUUUUGGAAGACCUCUUGCCAUCGCCGUUGACGUUAUUUCGGGGGUCGUUUUUAGCACUCUGUAGUCUGUAGCUGCUAACACAUCCUUUAGUUCCAUACUUCCAUUGACUAGGCAUGGUCGAGGGUUGGUUCCAAAGGUUUCAAUUCGG
rnacentral:misc_RNA from 1 species